rnacentral:rRNA from 1 species
UACGGAGGGAGCUAGCGUUGUUCGGAAUUACUGGGCGUAAAGGGCUCGUAGGCGGCCAACCAAGUCCGACGUGAAAUCCCAAGGCUUAACCUUGGAACUGCGUCGGAUACUGGAUGGCUUGAAUUCGGGGGAGGGAUGCAGAAUUCCAGGUGUAGCGGUGAAAUGCGUAGAUAUCUGGAGGAAUACCGGUGGCGAAGGCGGCAUCCUGGACCGACAUUGACGCUGAUGAGCGAAAGCUAGGGGAGCAAACGGG